AACGAACGCUGGCGGCAGGCCUAACACAUGCAAGUCGAGCGAGAACUUCGGUUCUAGCGGCGGACGGGUUAGUAACGCGUGGGAACGUGCCCUUCACUACGGAAUAGUCCCGGGAAACUGGGUUUAAUACCGUAUACGCCCUUCGGGGAAAGAAUUUCGGUGAAGGAUCGGCCCGCGUUAGAUUAGAUAGUUGGUGGGGUAAUGGCCUACCAAGUCUACGAUCUAUAGCUGGUUUUAGAGGAUGAUCAGCAACACUGGGACUGAGACACGGCCCAGACUCCUACGGGAGGCAGCAGUGGGGAAUCUUAGACAAUGGGCGCAAGCCUGAUCUAGCCAUGCCGCGUGAGUGAUGAAGGCCUUAGGGUCGUAAAGCUCUUUCGCCAGGGAUGAUAAUGACAGUACCUGGUAAAACCCG
rnacentral:rRNA from 1 species